rnacentral:lncRNA from 1 species
CAGAGGGAGACUCCGUCUAAAAACAAAACAAAACAAAACAAAACAAAACAAAACAAAACAAAACAAAACAUUGCCUUCUUCCAGAAUCUCUCUUGGAGGAGCUCCCUGAAGCUCUUUUAGAGUUAACUUUUUUUUUUUAAUAACUAGGCAUGCACUCUAAAAUACUGAUUAAAAAGUAUAGUACGGUAACAUAAACAAGUAACAUACGCGUUUAUUGUCACUGUCAAGUAUUAUGUUCUGUAUGUAAUUGUAUGUGCAAGACGUUUAUACAGCUGACAGUGCAGGGGGUGUGUGUAUACCAGCACCUCCGCAAAGUGAGGAGUGUGUUGUGUUCCGUCUACACGGUGGCUGCGAGGUCACCAGGCGACAGGAGGUUUCAGCUCCGUGACAGUCUUAUGGGGCCACCAUGGCAUGUGGUCCAUCGUUGACCCAAAUGCUGUUAUGCCGCGUGUGGCUGUAAAACGCACUUGCUGGUUCCCCACAGGGAGGAGGGGGUGGCUAAAACUGCCUUCCCUAUCCUGCAAGCCCAAGUCCCGCUGGAUACCUGGCCUGGGUGGGAGAUGACCCAGGAGAUGAAGCCCCAGUCCUGUGUCCGGCUGCAGAUGAGACUGGCGGCCACAAUGGAAGGGGCCUGGCACCUUUUGUUUAAAAGGCGCUCCAGGUGAUUCCCAUCCACAGCCAGCCUUGGGAAUUGAGAGUCCCCUGAUAAGUUGUUCUGGAGUGAUGUCCUGUGGGACUUUGGCAUUUUCCACUAGCAUCUAAUGAGGGGGUGUCCUUUCCGGAGAAGGCACCUAGGAAGGCCAGGGAGCUGCUGGUCUGUAUCCAGCUGCCCUUGGCCGAAGCUGGAGAAAGGAGAGGCAUGAGCUCAUGAAGUCCCCUUGACCUCUUCCCUCCAUAUUUGUGCGUGUGUUUGUCACACACCAACGCUAGGCAGCUUGUGUGGGACUUUUACACCUGUUGCUCACAGAAUGCAUCCAGAAGCCCUUUGAGGUGGAUGCUGUUAUAUCCCCAUUUUACCAGUGGUUAGAGGGUGUACAGAGGCUCUUCGUGGAGCCCAAGGUCACGCCCUUCAGUUCACUUGGUACAGUCAGCAUGUACUAAGUACCUCCUACUAUGUGCACACUGGACUCGACACCUUGAGGGCAGGGACCUCAGAGCCCCAGGCAGUGGGGAGGGGACAGGCUUUUUCUGGACAGCCACUCCCAGUGGCCCCAAGCUGAGGCAUAUCGUGAGGAGGGUGAAAAAGGCAGACGUGGCCCGAGAGGACACUAGGUUUCUACCUCUGCCUUUAAAAAAAAA